GAUGAACGCUGGCGGCGUGCCUAAUACAUGCCAGUCGAGCGAACGGACGAGAAGCUUGCUUCUCUGAUGUUAGCGGCGGACGGGUGAGUAACACGUGGAUAACCUACCUAUAAGACUGGGAUAACUUCGGGAAACCGGAGCUAAUACCGGAUGAUAUUUUGAACCGCAUGGUUCAAAAGUGAAAGACGGUCUUGCUGUCACUUAUAGAUGGAUCCGCGCUGCAUUAGCUAGUUGGUAAGGUAACGGCUUACCAAGGCAACGAUGCAUAGCCGACCUGAGAGGGGGAUCGGCCACACUGGAACUGAGACACGGUCCAGACUCCUACGGGAGGCAGCAGUAGGGAAUCUUCCGCAAUGGGCGAAAGCCUGACGGAGCAACGCCGCGUGAGUGAUGAAGGUCUUCGGAUCGUAAAACUCUGUUAUUAGGGAAGAACAUAUGUGUAAGUAACUGUGCACAUCUUGACGGUACCUAAUCAGAAAGCCACGGCUAACUACGUG
rnacentral:rRNA from 1 species